rnacentral:rRNA from 1 species
UUAACAAGGUUUCCGUAGGUGAACCUGCGGAAGGAUCAUUGUCG